CGAGGGGACGUAACGGAGGCAGGUCGGAGCCGCUGCCGUCGCCAUGACCCGCGGUAACCAGCGUGAGCUCGCCCGCCAGAAGAAUAUGAAAAAGCAGAGCGACUCGGUUAAGGGAAAGCGCCGAGAUGACGGGCUUUCUGCUGCCGCCCGCAAGCAGAGUGCCCCAUCAUCUCUACCCCCAGGGACUCGGAGAUCAUGCAGCAGAAGCAGAAAAAGGCAAACGAGAAGAAGGAGGAACCCAAGUAGCUUUGUGGCUUCGUGUCCAACCCUCUUGCCCUUCGCCUGUGUGCCUGGAGCCAGUCCCACCACGCUCGCGUUUCCUCCUGUAGUGCUCACAGGUCCCAGCACCGAUGGCAUUCCCUUUGCCCUGAGUCUGCAGCGGGUCCCUUUUGUGCUUCCUUCCCCUCAGGUAGCCUCUCUCCCCCUGGGCCACUCCCGGGGGUGAGGGGGUUACCCCUUCCCAGUGUUUUUUAUUCCUGUGGGGCUCACCCCAAAGUAUUAAAAGUAGCUUUGUAAAAAAAAAAAAAAAAAAAAAAAA